AAUUAAGACUGAACUUUAUUCUACAUGUGCUAGGAGUACUGAAAAACACCAUGUUUCAUGAAAACUACAGUAGCAGUUGCCUACUAAUAUUUUUAAAUUGUGCCUAUAAAAUUACCAUAAUUCUCAAGAAUUCAUAAACUAGAAAGUGAUACUAAAGAACACAAAGCAUAAAAUAUGUAGGUAAUUAUCAUAACAUAUAAAAUAACAAAAAUAUUGAGGGGAACACAUAUCACCAGUUCCCAGAGAAGUAACUUAAAAAAUUCAAUGUAUACAAUGUCCAUAAUUUGGCAAAUAUCAGUCAAAAAUUAGAAAUGGGCUGGAGAGACGGCUCAGCAGUUAGGACUGGGUUCCCAGCACCCACAUGAUGGCUUACAGGGCUAGCUUAUAUCAACCACCAGUAAACUACAGUUCCAAGAGAUCCGACAACCUCUUCUGCCCUCAGCAGGAUCCUGAAUGCACAUGAUAUAUAUAUUUAUAUAUAUUAGAAGUAUUAGAAAUAUAUGUAUGCAUAUAUAUACAUAUAUAUUAGCUAAGUAUUAGAAACAUAACACUAUGUCAAAGUCAGGAACAAAACAAGCACCACUAUUAUUCAACACUUCUGGUGGUUAUGAAAUUAAAAGGUGUAUCAGAGAAAAACAAAAACACUUUGAGAUGACCACCUAAACCACUUAACAAAACAAGUAUGAUUCACAAGUGAGCACAUCAGAGGAACUAGCUCUCUUCCUCAGGAGUCCAAGCUGCUAUGUGGAGAACUCGUUUCCACUUUUCUCAGCAAAACUUUUCCAGGCCUUGAAGAGCUAAACCUGCAAUGACUUUGUCCUAUGCCUGUAGUCUAUUUUAUGGUUAAAUACCUGCUCCCAAAGAGUGCAAGUGAAGUCUACGAAGCCUCUUAGCUGCACACUGAAAAUCUAAUUCCAGGUGUAAUGUGACUUCCCAACUCAACAUUCUGGCUGAUUUUAGGUCCUUUGGUGUGUAAUCUUCCAAGCAGUUCCCAUAGAUUUAAACCUAGUUACCAUGGUUUCAGAGCUAGAGAGAAAAUAAAUAAGUAGUAAAGGAAAGAAAGUGCUUGCUUUUAUAAGGAUUCAUGAGCUGCAUCUACAAGGUCUGAGGGUCCAAAAGUCUACAAUCCCAAAAUCACUAAGGGGCUCUCAACCACAUUUUAAGGCUUCGGUUUUCCCAACAAAAGCCUUGGUUACAUAGCCAAGACUAGCCUGAGCAUUCAGAUAUCUUUAAAAUAUAAAAUGGAGCUCCACGUACCUCAAGUCCUAUAUCUACCCUUAAAAUUGCAAGAAAUAAGCUCAAGUCUAUCACUUGGGACCUAGAUUUAGUCUCUGAAAUAUCCUAAAUACCUCAAUUUCAGUCUCUAGUUAUUUCCUCCAUAUUUUUUAGGUGCCUGAAAUUUUGCACAGGCAACAUGGUUAUUGUCAGCAAAAAGAGGCCACAUUGUGUCAGACACUAAAACCAUUCCGCAAAAACAAUCUUACUGCUUGUUUUCUUGCCUUAGUAUACAACCUGUGAUGGCCAUUCAUGGUUGUCAGCUUGACUAAAUCUGGAAUUAACUAAAACCCAAGCAAUUGGAUAGGUUCCUGUGCUGCUUUGAAUGAAAAUGGCCCCCAUAGGCUAACAGGAAGUGGCACUAUUUGAAAAUAGUAGGACUUGUGCCCUUGUUGGAAUAUGUAUGGCCUUGGGGUUAGGCUUUGGAGUUUCAAAAGCCCAACCUAGGCCCAGUGGCACAUUCUCUCUCCCUGCUGCCUGUGAAUCAAGAUGUAGAACACUCAGCUACCUUUCCAGCACCAUGUAUACUUGUGUGCUGCCAGGCUUCUGCCAUGUUGAUAAUAGACUGAACUUCUAAGCUGUAAGCCAGCCCCAAUGAAUGUUUUCCCCAAUUAUUGUUGUGGUGUUCGUGUUUCUUCACAGCAAUAAAACUCCAACUAAGACAGUAACCUGGGUACACAGGGAUUUUUUUUUCCUUAAUGAAAUUAUUUGAAGUGGGAAGAUCACCUUUAAUUUGGGCCACACCUUGCCUGGCAGCUUAUGUAAAGGACAUGGAAGAAGGAAGUUUGCUCUCUUUACUUGUUCCUACUCUUGAUCUCACUGGCAAGUCCAUUCCUUCACUGGAGCCUACUUCUUCAGAUUCUGCCAUAUACUGAAGACCAACAGAGUCAUAGAGACAUACAGCCUCAUAGACUAAAUUACUAGAUUCUUGGACCUUCCAUUCAUAGAGAGCCAUUGGACUAGCUAGACCAUAGGCUGUAAGCCUUUCUAUAAAUACACACACACACACACACACACACACACACACACACACACACACACAAUCAUUCUCAGAGAAGGUCAUCAGAGAACUGAAAGUGGUAACAAUAUACAUACAUACAUACAUAUUAUAUACAUGAAUUCUACCAAACUCAUAUGGCUUAAGGGAGGGUUUUUUGUUUUUUGUUUUCUGCAUUUUUUUUCCUCCUGCAAAAAUACCUGUGUCAGGUAGGAGAAAGGGUUCUAAUGUGCUUGCCGCCAAGACUGACAACCUGACUUUGACUUCUAGGACUGACUUCUACACUAUGUUGUAGCACAGCCCCUCCCUUCACCAAAUGAAUAAAUCUCAUUUUUUAAAAGCUUCUAUGGCAGUGAUGAGAUGUUUCAGCAGUUAAAGAAUUCUGGUGGAGAACCCAUCUGGCUAUUCACAACUAUAACUCUGGUUCUAGAGCAUCCAAAACCUUCUGGUAACCACACACAUACAAAAACACACGCAAUAAAAAUCUUUUUUAAAAAUGUGUGGCAUUUGUAUUGUAAUAUAACUAUAUAAAGUAUUAUAGUAAUAUAAUCCAAAAAUGAUACAAAUUAUUCUGCAGGACCUUAUAGGUUAUAAGCAAAACAUAUGCCAUUUUAUAUGAAAGACUUCAUCAUACAGAUAUUGGGAUGGAUUUGAGUCCUGGAAACAGUCAUUUAAAUCAUCAAAAGACAACUACAGUAUAUUUACACACACAUUUGCACAUGCUAAACUAUUUCUAAAACAAAAUACAGCAUAAAACCUAGUGGAAAGAAAACAAUGUUCAAAAAUUACUUAACAUUUUUAGAUGAUGAUAGCAGCAUUAAAUCAAAUGUACAAAUGUAUAGGACACACACCAAGGAACUGCCCCCAGUCUAACCUCACACACAGUGAGAAUGAGAGGGGAUCUAGUGGGGAGUGAUAUAGUCACUGUUUUCUGGAGAAUAGCGGGAAGCGGGAGCUGAAGAGACUUACCUUGCAUUGCAGAAGUUCUUUGCCAUUUUAAUUUUUUCACAUAUAAAGGUAUUACUUGUAAAGAUCAAGGACAUCAGGGGCUCAUUUGGGCUACAACCUUUUGGAGUUGUAGUUUCCUUGUAAAAGACUCUGGGGGAAGGUAUGGCUAUGGCACAGUGAUGCUUCCAGACUACAGCAUAAGCUGGAUGGACCCUGACCAAAACAUUCUACAGAGAAUGCUCUGGGCACCUGAAAUUUCUGUCCUAAAGGCUGAGUGGGCUUCCAGGAUCUAUCCAGUGCUCUUGCCAACGUUCUUUUCUCCUUUAGAGUGGGCAAUGAAAAGGAUGCUUAGACAAAUCCUUGGGUGUCCUCUAACAUUGGGCUAAAACACUGACUCUGGAAAGCUUUCUAUGGCCUUCCCCAAACAAGUCAUAUUUUCCCUGGUUCAAAGUACAUUUUGUCCAUAUCAGUCACAGAUUAUCAGGGACUUAUGUAUAGUGAUUCACGUCCUUUUAUCAUAGGCAGAAUCCUGUUACAUACCAUAGGCUGCAAUUUCCAUAUGCAGUCGUUACAGGCAAAUGACAGCAGACCAGGCUAAUUUUCUUGGUCCCUCAUACAUUUAAAGAAUCGCAAUGAUAGUUCAAAUUUUGAAAUCCUUUUCAAUCAAGCGACUAUGUACAUAAGACACCCUUUUAAACAUGAGUUGCCGCCUAACCUCGUCAAAUCAUAAGCACACUUUGACAAGCAUGGUGAUGACUACAACUCCCGAAAUACACCGCGGGAUCAACAUGUGCACCUGCCCCGUGUUCACCUUUCAGGUUAGAGCCAAGAGUUGAGGGACCAUAUAAGAGAACGGAGAGGCGGCAGAACUACGCUGGGAGCGGAUGCCUUCGGGCGAGCGUCACGCUCUGAGCGACGUUAACUUCACGCUGGAAACCGUUCUUGCGGCACAUGAAGCUGAGAGCUCCCCGAGGAUUGUGAGGCUGUACGCCUGUGCUUGCCUCGUCGCUGCCGCCGGUCUCUCUGAACCUUUUAAUGGUCCGUGGUACCCGGCUAACGGAAGAACGCUUCGGCGGGAAAUAGGAACUGUCAACGCGUUUGUGGAACAUUAGAUCGCCCACUGCUCAUCGUGGCCAUGGAACACCUUCCCGGCAGAAGCCUCGCAGAUUCUAUAACGGAUUUUAGUGGGUGAAGGCUCGACCUCCCAUCGUCUUCACGAAUGACUCGAACACCCUCACCCCGUCUCAGUCCUUUUCGGGCUGUCAGCCUGAGUCCCUACACUUGGCUUCACUCUAGUCCUGUGCACGCAUUCGGACUUCUCAGCCUGGCUCUGUUCUGCUGAGAGCAAGUCCAGAGUUGACAACCCGCCACAUGACCAACAUCAGCCCUACAAAUCCCGAAGAACAACUCGGCAACUCCAUCGCCAAGGCAACCUUCUACACACGCUUCCUCCCGGCGCAGGUAGAAAAGCUCGCGGGACUUCCCCGCCCAACUGAGAUUCCCGAAUCAGGAAGCGGGGCCGAAAGAGGAGGAAGUCCCUCCUUGGCCGGCUCACCUCGGCGGCGCACUCCUCGCGAGAUCGCCGAGGUCUGACUCUCCGGAAGUGUGUUCGGAGGUAAAGGUACUGUGCGUUGGGCUCGUCGGCCGCCGUAGCCCCUGCUAGGGCAGCCCGUACGAACCUGCUGGAAGAGGAAGAGAAAGGCAGAGAGUCGGGUUACAAGAUGGCGGAUCUGUAGUAGUAACCGCGGCGGGCGGCGGCAGCGGGAGAGCGAGCGAGCUCCGGGACGCAAAAGGAAGGGAGAGUGGUUGUGCGCCGCGGUGAAGGGAGGGGUAGCGGAGACCACGAGCGGAGGGCUCUCGGUGGCUCUGGUCACCCCUUCUCGCGGCUAAACCUUUAGAGCCAUGGUAAACUCGGGCCUCUCCAGAGUCGCUGCCACCACCGCCGCUGCCGCCACUACCGGCUCUCAAGAGUGAGGGAUACCGGCGAGGUGAGCGAGGAGGUGGCGGCUGGAACGGUGGGGCCAGAAGCCACCAUGUCGGAUACACGGAGGCGAGUGAAGGUCUAUACCCUUAACGAAGACCGGCAAUGGGACGACCGAGGCACCGGGCACGUCUCCUCCACUUACGUAGAGGAGCUCAAGGGGAUGUCGCUGCUGGUUCGUGCCGAGUCCGACGGAUCGCUACUCUUAGAGUCAAAGAUAAAUCCAAACACUGCAUAUCAGAAACAGCAGGAUACAUUAAUUGUUUGGUCAGAAGCUGAAAACUAUGAUCUGGCUCUAAGUUUUCAAGAAAAAGCUGGCUGUGAUGAAAUUUGGGAAAAAAUUUGUCAAGUUCAAGGUAAGGACCCAUCAGUAGAAGUCACACAGGACCUCAUUGAUGAAUCUGAAGAAGAACGAUUUGAAGAAAUGCCAGAAACUAGUCAUCUAAUUGACCUGCCCGCAUGUGAACUCAGUAAACUUGAAGAGAUUGCUGACUUAGUUACCUCAGUUCUCUCCUCACCUAUCCGUAGGGAAAAGCUGGCUCUGGCCUUGGAAAAUGAAGGCUAUAUCAAAAAACUACUACAGCUAUUCCAAGCUUGUGAGAACCUAGAAAACACUGAAGGCUUACACCAUCUGUAUGAAAUUAUUAGAGGAAUCUUAUUCCUAAAUAAGGCAACACUUUUUGAGGUAAUGUUUUCUGAUGAGUGUAUCAUGGAUGUCGUGGGAUGCCUUGAAUAUGAUCCUGCUUUGGCUCAGCCAAAAAGACAUAGAGAAUUCUUAACUAAAACUGCAAAGUUUAAGGAAGUUAUACCAAUAACAGAUUCGGAACUAAGGCAAAAAAUACAUCAGACUUACAGGGUACAGUACAUUCAGGACAUCAUUUUGCCUACACCAUCUGUUUUUGAAGAAAAUUUCCUUUCUACUCUUACAUCUUUUAUUUUCUUCAACAAAGUUGAAAUAGUCAGCAUGCUGCAGGAAGAUGAGAAGUUUUUGUCUGAAGUUUUUGCACAAUUAACAGAUGAAGCUACAGAUGAUGAUAAACGGCGCGAGUUGGUUAAUUUCUUCAAAGAAUUUUGUGCAUUUUCUCAGACAUUGCAACCUCAGAACAGGGAUGCUUUUUUCAAAACCUUAGCAAAAUUGGGAAUUCUUCCAGCUCUUGAAAUUGUAAUGGGCAUGGAUGACUUGCAAGUCAGAUCAGCUGCUACAGAUAUAUUCUCUUAUCUGGUGGAGUUUAGUCCGUCCAUGGUCCGAGAAUUUGUGAUGCAGGAAGCCCAGCAGAGUGAUGAUGAUGUACUUCUUAUUAAUGUGGUGAUUGAACAGAUGAUUUGUGAUACUGACCCUGAGCUCGGAGGUGCUGUUCAGUUAAUGGGACUUCUUCGUACUCUAAUUGAUCCAGAGAACAUGUUGGCUACAACUAAUAAAACUGAAAAGAGUGAGUUCUUAAAUUUCUUCUACAACCAUUGUAUGCAUGUUCUCACUGCUCCACUUUUGACCAAUACGUCAGAAGACAAAUGCGAGAAAGUUGAUUUCAAUUUUUUUUUUAAAGAUAAUAUGCUUGGAUCUAACACAACCAACACAAUUUGCCCUGAUAAUUAUCAAACAGCACAGCUGCUUGCCUUAAUUUUAGAGUUACUCACAUUUUGUGUGGAACAUCACACAUACCACAUAAAAAACUACAUCAUGAACAAGGACUUGCUAAGAAGAGUCUUGGUGUUGAUGAAUUCAAAGCACACUUUUCUGGCCUUGUGUGCUCUUCGCUUUAUGAGGCGAAUAAUUGGCCUGAAAGAUGAAUUUUAUAAUCGUUACAUCACCAAAGGAAAUCUUUUUGAGCCAGUUAUAAAUGCCCUUUUGGAUAAUGGAACUCGGUACAAUCUUUUAAAUUCAGCUGUUAUUGAAUUGUUUGAAUUUAUAAGAGUGCCCCCUAAAGGGCUCCAGUGAAUUGCCUCUCCUUGUUCCAAGUUUUCUGUGGAGUCCUGUCCUGGCUCAUGUAUAAGGAAUCUAGGACAUUUAUUUUUAGAAGGAAGAUAUCAAGUCUCUUACUGCACAUAUAGUUGAAAACUUUUAUAAAGCACUUGAAUCGAUUGAAUAUGUUCAGACAUUCAAAGGAUUGAAGACUAAAUAUGAACAAGAAAAAGACAGACAAAAUCAGAAACUGAACAGUGUACCAUCUAUAUUGCGUAGUAACCGAUUUCGCAGAGAUGCAAAAGCCUUAGAAGAGGAUGAAGAAAUGUGGUUUAAUGAAGAUGAUGAUGAAGAAGGAAAGGCAGUCAUAACACCAGUUGAAAAAUCUAAGACUGAAGAUGAUUUUCCAGAUAGUUAUGAAAAAUUUAUGGAAACUAAAAAAGCAAAAGAAAGUGAAGACAAAGAAAACCUUCCCAAAAGGGCAUCAUCUGGUGGCUUCAAAUUUACUUUCUCCCAUUCCCCCAGUGCUACUAAUGGAACAAACAGUACAAACAGUAAGUCUGUAGUGAGUCAGACAACACCAGCAAGUUCUAAUGUGGCCUCUUCCAAAACUACAAGCCUGGCUACAUCAGUGACAGCCACAAAGGGAAAUUUGGUUGGCUUGGUAGACUAUCCAGAUGAUGAAGAGGAAGAUGAGGAAGAAGAAUCAUCCCCUAGGAAAAGACCUCGCCUGGGCUCCUAGAAUCCUUGCUGGGGGAUUCCCACCACAUGGUCUUACUAACUGCUGCAGCUGCUCACGCACGGAGCUUGAGUCUGAAUGGGAAAGCUUUCAUAUGGAACUUAACACACGGAGUAGCAGAGACUCUUGGUUGCCAGGUAGGAAAGUGUAGUUGUGUAAGAACCGGGCUUCCCAAAAACUUAAUUCCUAGUAAUUAAAGGGUUUGCCUUUUGGGCUGUCCAAAAAAGAAGAAUGAUAAUUAGAUCCUGGGUGAAAGCUUCCCAACAAGGAAAGGCUCAUAUUUGGGGUAAGAAGGGUUAAUUGUUCCCAGAGUCCAACCUAGAGGAAAUUGUGAGACUUCAGUACCCAAUAACAUUGCUUGUAUAAUGGUGCUGGCCACGUUGUUUUAAUCAGUUGCCUUUUUUUAAAAGACAUUUUUUAUGUAAAGCAAAUUGAACUGUCAUCAGAAAUGAAGUUACAUUGUUGGGACCAUUUCUUUAAAGAUUUCACAGAAGUUAGCCUUUGGCAUUUGACAGGACAUACACCCUAGGUAACAAACAGCACAUACCAAUUUCUCUACACCAAGAACUUCUAAUACAUUGAAAAAAAGAAAAAAGAAAGCUGGGUUCCAAAUGGAUAGUAUUCUUAAAGAACUAAAGUCAGCAUUUUUAGAGGUAACAGCAGCCAAGAAAUGCAGCAGCAAUGUUCUGAAAUGCUCCUCUUCCACCAACCUGGGAGUGGCUAGAACAGGGGGUUUCCACUAUGGUCACUUUCUGCUUUCUCAGUAAAGUUAGGUCUGGGUGUUCUAAGAGCUGCUGGUAAAUAUAUAAAGACCAACAAAGAAUGGUGCUGAGUUAAGUGGCACUUAAUAUCUGCAGGUCAUUCUAGCCUAGAGGCUACUUAAAUAUCACAGUCAUAUGCAGCCUAGGAAGCUCUUCCACAGACAAGAGGGUGAUGUGAAAGCUGCUUUUUUAAGAGAUUUAAAAAGCACAUUCCAUGUAUGUAAAUGAACUUAAAAUAAUUGAAGCAAGCUGUUAAGAGCUUUUAUUUUUUAGAACAAGUUAACUGUAAAUAUUUUAAUGUUAGUUUGCUCAUCUAUGAUCUAAGAUCAUUGCUGAGAUGAGAAAAAUGACCCCAAACUACAAUUUAAUGCAUUGAGAAAAAAAAAGAUCUAAAAAUAGUAAUUCUAGCUCCAGUCUUUUAGAUCAGCUCUAUAAUAUGUUAUGGGUCCAUUUUUCCUGGAAUAGCUUAAAAGCAGUUUCCUGUGUUGGAAAUUUUGGAGUUAAUUUUAAUUUUGGCUAUUGUUUGGAAAAGAUGGGCUGUCCGUGUAGAUACGAAGUAUAGUUUUUCCAUAAAACAGAUGUUUAUUUUGUAUUAAAAAUACCACUGUACUUGUUUUACACCAUUUGUAUACAUGUGGUGAUAUUACUGCUAAACUGUAAAAUUCAGGAAUUAAAAUGUGACCCUAUAAUUCCAUGAUUGAGGCUUCUGUUUGUUUUAUUGUAAAAUAAGUGAAUAAGUGAACUAUUUUUGAGAUAUGUCCAGUUUACAUUGUCUUUUAAAGGCUGAUAAAAUCCAUAAAGAUAUGUUAUAAGCCACUAGGUCAGAAAGUCUUAAAUGCAAGACUCAACCAUUCUUUAAAUAUCACUUACAAGAGGUAAACCUUGAGCAAACCUAACAGCAUAAAGCCAUUCUCACCUCUAAACAAAGGUGCACAUACAUCAUGCAUUCAUCUUGUAUCACAAGUGAACUGGGAUUCUUUCAGCCAAUAUCAGUAAGUUACUGUAUGAGUAGGCAUUCUUUCAAACAAGUUUUAUGAAGCCUCUACCAUCUUAGUGCUUAGAAUCUAAGCAGCCCUGAUCUAUAAACUGUUCUGUUAACUCUUUUGUUAUGUUAACUAAAGUACUGUACCAUAUAAAGACUUCCUUUAAUUUUCCUUUCUGAGGAACUUCAAACUUUUAAGACAUUAUUAUGGGAAGUGUUUCUUACAAUGGAAAUAUGAAUGUUUUCUUAAAGUCCAAGGGCAACAGUUGUGUAAUGCAUAUGCUCACCCACAUGAUGAAAGGAUCCUUGGAAGGCACAACUAGGAAGAUUCCACAGUAGCUGCUGUCCUGAAUGACGACCCUCAUGCAGGCUGGGGUGCUUACAGCAUUAUCUCCACUCAGCUAGUUCAAGUCAGAGCACACAUUUGUAUGCCUUAGGUCCUAAAAAUAUCUGUAAACAUGUACCUAAUAAAAAACUAUUUUUAAUAAAAAGUUAUGUGAAACAGA